rnacentral:lncRNA from 12 species
GACAAUUUUUCAGUUCCUAUUUUUUGUUGCAGUGAGAUUUUACUGCUUUGCUUGUAUCCCUUAUCAGGGAAUUCAAACUUUUGAUAUGCUUAUUGUAAAUAUUUUUCCACUUGUUGCCUCUGCCUGGGGCAGAAACAAAAGCAAAUAUGUUGCUGAAAGCAAGGGAGCGAAAGAGCCCUUCAACAAAGGAGUGACAGCAGUUUCCAAUGCUACAAAGAGACCCAGCAAGGAGCCUCUGUGACAUGUGCUCUCCACUUGGAAGACAAGAAGGUUCAGAUACAAAGAAUAUAUCUGAGAUCACACAGCAGGAGAGAAGCAGAAGGACGGACAAUAGACUCUGGGAUUCUGGACCAGAGUCCAUCUUACCCUGCACCACAGUGUUUUUGGAGCAGUCUCUAACUGAACAAAGAGUUUUAAAGAUAUUUAAAAAUGAAUAUUCAUAAACAUCCAUGUUAGACUUUUUUAUAAGCAGUCUAAUGGAGAAGUCCAAGAAGAAAUUGCUCUCAUAUGGCCUUUGGUAAAUUACCAGACUUGUUUGCUUUUGCUUUUUUAUUAAUAAGAGUAAAGCAACACUUACUUCUGGAAUUUGAUGAAUAGAUUUGUACAUAAUAACAACAGUGAUAGUUGUUAUAAGUAAACAUUAUUGUGUAGUUGUAGUACCAGCUAACACUUAUAGGGCACUUAUUUUGUGCAAGGCCAAGCACUUUACAUGGAGAUCUUCAUGUAAUCCUCCCAGCCACCUGUAAUUAUCCUCAUUACAGAUGAAAAAAUUGAAGUCUGGACAAGUUAAAUAUGCAGCCCAGAUCACACAGGUGUUAAGUAAUACAACUGGAACUUAAGUCCACUCUGCCUAGGUCCAAAGUAAAUGUUCUUAACCAUGAGACCAUAUUGUAUUGCUUUCUCAUUAAAGAAUCCACAAGGAUAAGUUAAAGAACAAGGGAAUUCAACCUUAAAAAACCAGAGAAGUAAAAUUUGGCAAGAGAAGGACUUUUGCAACAUUAGGAGACCAUGCAGGGUGGCCAACACUCAUUGUACUACCUCUCAUGGUAAAGGGGGAAAAAUCACACAUCCUUAUAGAGGCAUAGAAACAUACACCAAAAUGAUCCUCAAAAAGAAUGGCAUUCCAUUGGAGCUCAAAUUAAACUCUUUUUUAAAAGUGCAUAUUGGGCGUAUACUUCUGUAAUAUAUCCAGGUUAGUACAGCUAUAUGAAUAUAGUCCCUGGCAUAAAUGUAAACACAAAGGACAGCCCAGGGCUGCCAAGAGUUUUAUGUAAAUAAUUAUGCAUUGCAAAGUGAUUUUCGUGGCCAUGGGUGUAUAGGACUGCACUCCAAAAACGG